GACGAACGCUGGCGGCGUGCUUAACACAUGCAAGUCGAACGGAAAGGCCCUGCUUUUGUGGGGUGCUCGAGUGGCGAACGGGUGAGUAACACGUGAGUAACCUGCCCUUGACUUUGGGAUAACUUCAGGAAACUGGGGCUAAUACCGGAUAGGAGCUCCUGCUGCAUGGUGGGGGUUGGAAAGUUUCGGCGGUUGGGGAUGGACUCGCGGCUUAUCAGCUUGUUGGUGGGGUAGUGGCUUACCAAGGCUUUGACGGGUAGCCGGCCUGAGAGGGUGACCGGCCAAAAUGGGAAUGAGGUACGGCCCAGAAUCCUAAGGGGGGCAGGAGGGGGGAAUAUUGGAAAAUGGGCGGAAGGCUGAUGCAGGAACGCCUCGUGGGGGAUGACGGCCUUCGGGUUGUAAACCGCUUUCGCCUGUGACGAAGCGUGAGUGACGGUAAUGGGUAAAGAAGCACCGGCUAACUACGUG
rnacentral:rRNA from 1 species